rnacentral:rRNA from 1 species
UACGGAGGGUGCAAGCGUUGCUCGGAAUCAUUGGGCGUAAAGCGCACGUAGGCGGCCCGGUAAGUCGGAUGUGAAAGCCCUCGGCUCAACUGAGGAAGUGCAUUCGAAACUGCCAGGCUUGAAUAUGGAAGAGGGUCGCGGAAUUCCCGGUGUAGAGGUGAAAUUCGUAGAUAUCACUUGGAACGCCAAAGGUGAAGACAGUCUGCUGGGGAUCUGCUGACGCUGAGACACGAAAGCCAGGGGAGCGAACGGG